CUAACUGCCAGAGCCACUGACAGGCAGUCGAUAGCACAGCAAUUAAUGUCAUAAAUAAUUCCAGAACCAAUUACAUCAAAAUGGACUCGGAGCUUUAAAAAGGUUCUCAUGCUGCUUUGCAAAGAGAAUGUAUAACAGGAUUUGUACAGGGCUGCAAAUGCUGAAGAUGACAGUUAAGGAAGAUGAAAACUCCAUAAAAGGAAACUAGGACUUCCAGGAGAAAUGACAGUUUUGAAAGCCGAGGCAAGAAUAUACAGGAUGAGUCUGGAGCAUCUCAUAGUGUCAUAAGAAUCCCAUUUCUCAUUUCCUCAAGGUCCAAUCCUCACAAGCCAGGACUAUUCAAGCACAUCCCAUAGUCGUUUGUACUGUGACCUAGUUAAGCUGAGCUGUUGGUUUUCCUAUAGCUUUUCCUUCCAGAGAUCUUUGUGAAAGCUUGAACAUUAAGCUUUAUGAAAUGACUCUGUAAUGACUCUGAUAAUGACUUCUUCAUUAUCUCUGUAUCUUGCUCGAUGAGGGACAUGCGAUCCUAGAACUGAUUCUAGAAUCCAUUUCAAAAACAAGGGAAGAGAGAGUAAAUGACUGCAAGCAAUAUGUCCCUGAAGUUUCUUCAUUCCCAAGAGGAUCUUUUUACCAGAUGAAGGAAUUGUAGAUUACAUGAAAUUAAAAGACGCUUACUCCUUGGAAGAAAAGUUAUGAUCAAC
ensembl:lncRNA